rnacentral:rRNA from 1 species
CCUACGGGAGGCAGCAGUGGGGAAUAUUGCACAAUGGGGGGAACCCUGAUGCAGCGACGCCGCGUGAGUGAAGAAGUAUUUCGGUAUGUAAAGCUCUAUCAGCAGGGAAGAAGAUGACGGUACCUGACUAAGAAGCCCCGGCUAACUACGUGCCAGAAGCCGCGGUAAUACGUAGGGGGCAAGCGUUAUCCGGAUUUACUGGGUGUAAAGGGGGCGUAGACGGCAGGGCAAGUCUGGAGUGAAAGCCCGGGGCUCAACCCCGGGACUGCGUUGGAAACUGCCAUGCUGGAGUGCUGGAGAGGUAAGCGGAAUUCCUGGUGUAGCGGUGAAAUGCGUAGAUAUUAGGAAGAACACCAGUGGCGAAGGCGGCUUACUGGACAGUCACUGACGUUGAGGCUCGAAAGCGUGGGGAGCAAACAGGAUUAGAUACCCUUGUAGUC